rnacentral:tRNA from 1 species
GCGGGUAUGGCGGAAUUGGUAGACGCGCUAGAUUUAGGUUCUAGUGUCAAAAGACAUAGGGGUUCAAGUCCCUUUACCCGUACCA